AAGAGCGGGAGAUCCCCCGCAAUUAACAACAGGAACCUCUUCCCCUCUUAACAGAUUUGAUAGGAAAAAAUGCAAGGACUAUUCUGAUCUCCAUUAAUGUGGCUCAGUUAGCAGGAUGGAAAGACAAACACAAAGGGGUGGGAUUUUGCCAUUUUAGGACCGUUAAUGUCGUGUCAUCAAGGUGUAAUCACAUCAUGCUUCAUCCUCAAUUCGACCUUCUCCCAGAUCAGAAGAGUCAAAGGAGAUCCACUGGUUGACCAGGAUUAAGACAUGGUAUCAGAGAUCAUGCACAGUGGCAUUUAAUGAUCACAUAUCAAGGUACGUUGCACUCAAAAUUUAAAAUAAGAAUGUUUGCCAAUAAGGUUUAUAGGGAAAUAAUUGUAUACGUUUCUCUGCUUUCAGAGGUAUAGUCCAACUGUCAAUGUCAGAAUGCUUUUGGUUAUAUAAACUUUAAAAACUCAACUAAAAAUGAUGAGUAAUAAGGAACAUCUGUAUCUCACAUAACAAGGUAUUUGGAAGUUUAGUGGUUCCAGCUUUGAUUAAUGUAGUGUUCAAAUGAUAUUAUCAAGGUCCUAGGUUCUCUCCAUUUCUCCUCUAUAAGCUAUUGGAUUGUCUUUAAGCUGAAUUUCCUCAUGGCCCCAAGAUGGCUGCCAUUCUGCCCACUCUCAAAUACAGAUAGCAAGAUCCAAAGGCAGCAAAUGGUUUGUUUCCUUUUGUGUGUCUCUUGCUAUCAAUAAAGAAUGUUUUCCAUGAACUCCCA
rnacentral:lncRNA from 1 species